UGCCUCUCUCUUUCCAUGCCAGAGAUGGUAAAACACUUCUCUGAGAUUCUGUCGCUAGUCGGAGUUAAGAAAAGUACUGUGGAAAUAAAUCCAACAAGUUCACCUUCCCCAUGUGUUCACCUCACAGGACCUCGUUGUGAAGUUGAGAUUUUGAAGGAAAACCUUGAGUCAUGGCUACAGAGUCUUGUCACUGAACGAUUCGAGGUAGAUGGACCUGGAGUUCAACCAUUUUUUCAAGGGGAAGGUAUGGAGACCUUGAAAUUAGCACAGAAUUCUUUUAUGGUUCGGAUACUGCCCAUUGAUGAGGGACAAAAAACCAGUAAAGUGCCGAAAGACACAAGCUUUACCAGUCUCCAGAACGUACCAAAUACUGCAUCUAUUGUACAACAAAUGCAGACCAAUAACAAAGAGAUCCACAUUAAACUGGUGGUUGGUGGUCUUGAGGAACAGCAGGCUGAUGUGUUUGUUGCUCCAAUGAUAAAAAUGAACUUAACCUCAACCAUGGUUGGAUUGUGCCUAUUGCAAAAAGCAGGACAACAGCUUCAGAGUCAUUUCAACAGUGCCAAGGGACAGCGUACACUUACGCCUGGAGAUGUGCUGGAGGUUAAUGGGACACCAACGCUGGGAUGCUCCAAGAUUUUCUUUAUGGAAUGUGUGCCCAAAGGUGGAAAAAAGGACAACAGUGGACAAGCAUUACACUCUGGACUUGGCCGAGUUCUGGCACUAUGUGAGCAGCACUCCUGGGGUUCUGUUGCAUUGCCAAUAAUUGGACCUGGUUUAGCGCUGUCAGUACCUGUCAAAGAUGCCAUUAAAAUUCUCACUGAUGAGAUUGAAAUUUUUUUAUCUGGAUACACUGGUUCCCUCCACACCAUUUGCAUCACCAUAAUGCCUAAUUAUGCUCAUUCUGAAGAGAUGUUCCAGACAGUCUGUGGCAAUCUAAGUGCAAAAAUGGUGGACAACACAGGGCAAGCUCUUUUCCACUCACUGACAACUGACCUUGAUGAGGUCAUAUUGGCAGUAGAUGGGAUUCAGCUCCAUCUAGUGUUUGGUGACAUUACCAAUGAGACUACUGAUGCCAUUGUCAACACUACUGAUUUUACAGACUUCCAAACAGGAGUGUGUAAGGACAUCCUCACUAAAGCAGGAUCACAAGUCCAGGCUAAUCUGACAGGAGCUCAGGUACAGCGUGGAAAGAUCUUUACAACCCAGCCAGGAGGCUUCCCCUGUAAGCUGAUCAUACAUGUGUGUGGACAGAGGGACUCGAGUGUCAUCAAGUCCUUGGCAAAAGAAAUAGUGAUUUACUGUGAGUCCGGACACUAUAAGUCAGUGGCCAUUCCUGCUAUCUGUGCUGGAAAAGGAGGUAUGGAUCCAAGUGUGGUGGCCAAGUCCAUUCUACAGGGAGUAAAAGAUGCUGUUCAAGGAGCUAACCCUAUGUAUCUCAAAACUGUUCGCAUCAUUCUACUGAAGAUCAACGUUUUUCUUAAGUUUAAAGCUAUGGCACAGCAAAUCUUAAGCGUUAAUAAACAGCUGACAGCUCCUGCACAUCUUGUACCUACCCAUUCAACCACCAGAGGACGCAGUGCAACCACUACAGGGGGCAGUGUAUCAAGAAGAGUGCGUCGAUCACGGUCUUUACCAUCUUCAAGUUUUGACCUUAGUUCUCUUGUGGCGUCUUUGCCUGUAACUCAGCCCACAGCUGCAUUCCUUGUCAUUGGAUUUACCUAUGACAAUGUGUUUGAUGCCUGCCAAGAAAUUCGUCGGGCAUAUGACAACCAGUGUUCUACACACUCUUUCUCCUCUGAGGACAUUGGAUGUCUCACUGAUGAUGAGGUGGAUCAGCUGCGCUCGAAACUAAAUUCAUUGCACCUGCAGAUGCGACAGAGCAACGCAGAUUCCUGGGUAAUGACAGGGCUGAAGGAUGGAGUGAAUGAAGUGGUUAGACUGGUACAAGGUGCACUUCGCAGGCAGGUGCAGGGGAGGGGAUAAUCACACGGCAGUGUUGCCCAACAAUGCUCAUUACCAGCCGCUUGAUUAGCUUGGCACCUGCACACUAUCUGCUUUUCCCCUUAUAAGCAGCCCUUUUGUUCUGUAUAUUUUGCCUAUUUUCCUGUGCUUCAGCCAUUACCAUCUCCUCCACUGACCGGAUCACUCACCUCUGUUUCUCUUUGCUCCAGUCGCUGCAUCUCACACCACUCCUUGGAAUAUAUUAUCUCUACUCACUCCCUGCUGCAGCUGUCGCCGUCAGAGGCCUCCUGUCAUCUUCACCCAUCUCAUCCCUGGACUGAUCUGUUGUUGUGCUACUUCAUAUUUUUAAAAGUCCAAGUAUCUAGCCAAAAACGUACUUGAAAGUAAAAAGUAUUCACAUUAAAUUGAACUUUACUAUUAAAAAAGUAAAAAGUAACUUUUUUCGUAGCUAGAAUGAAAUCAAGAGAGGAGAUUGUAUGUGAGAGGAUGUUAAAUUCAUUUGGUUUGUCAAGUCACCUUUUUACUGUCUCCAACCUGGUCAUAUAAUCAUGUUACAAUAACUAAAGUUUUGCAAAAUGAUUUUUAUGUGGCCUGUUGUACGUAACACAUAUGUCAAUUUCCUGGUGGAAUGAACACCAGAGGCACUAAAACAACAAUGACUUUUAUCCCCUUUCAAUCAAAUCACGAGUAAAAAGGCAGAUUAUCAGUUCAUAAACACUUUUCGCUCUGUUCCUCACACAGUGCUAUCUUAUGACAUAUAACACCUUAACUAUAGCACACAACUCAUUUUGACAUUUGCAUUACAUAAUCAACUACAUUUACAAGCUUGUUCGUGUGUGAUCAAAUUGCGUAGUAGCUCAACUGAUAGAUUGUUGCACUUGUGACGUAAAACACCAGGUUACGAGUCCUGAAGAGCACACAACAUAAAAGUGUUAUAGAAGCACCACAAAAUGACAUGGUUGCUUCAGAAGUUUUGUUUUUCAUCUCGCAUUUGCUUUUUAUGACACUAUCGGUUAUGUUUAGUUUAAGGUUUAGGGUAGGGUAUGUAUUCUUGCCUUUUUUUCAAACUUCUUGAGGUAUCACCCUGGGAUGCUUUUUAAACAGUAUUGAAGGAGUUCCCAUCUAUGUUGGGCACUUAGUAGCUGCUUUUCUUUAUUAUUCGGUCCAAGUCAUCAAUUUCAAAAAAGUUUUUUUUUUAUUAAAUUUUAGUUUUAUAAUGAAAUAAAUUAAUAAGGUGGCACAAUUAUAUUUUUGUCUACAAAACUAAUUUCAAACAUUUAAGCAUACACCUUCAGAUCAAAAGAUUUUUAAGAUCAUGAGAAACAUUUCAGUCAAGUGUUUCAAAAGUUUUGACCGGUAGUGUAUAUAUUUGCAACGUGAAUGAUAAUUUUUUACUUCAUAACUGUCCGAUCUGUAGAAGUAGCAGGAGUUUAGAAUAAAGUUUAGGACAAAAACCAUCAGUGUUUCUCAAUUACAUUACAACCCUGCCUGGAAGUCUUGCAAUAAAGAGUGCAAGUUUAAACAAACUAGAAGUGCCAAAGUUACUCUGCGGACAGAAUGUUUCAAUAAGGACAGAUGAUCAACUCUUCAUUCUGCUCUUUUGUGGGUGGGAUUUUCUGCAGCACACGUACGUUUUGUUAAGCUUUACAUCACAUAAAGAGUGAUGUGGUGUGUUUAUAAGCAAUGUGUAUUAGUGCUUUUGGUUUCGCAAGAUUUCAACAUCAUUAGGAAUAGGAUCUGCAGGAAUCUGCUUUGGCCUCCAAACAUUUAAUAUCUGAAAAUGAUGAAUCGUAAAUCGUGAGCUUGGAAGAGGCAUGUUCAUCAUCAGCUGUCUAAAAUGUUUAAUGUCACAUGGAUAAACUAAAAGACACACAUCUAUCUCUUUUACACAUCUGUGCUGCUCUAACACUUUGAUUUAGAACGGCACAACAGUGAAGCAUCCGAGUGCUGAUGGUAUGAGACAUCAUUACUCAUGGAAUGUCUCUCGUCCAAUCAGAUUGACCGGAACUUACUGUUGUAAAUAUACAUAUAUUAAAUGGUAUGGCCAGAAUAAGGACAUUUCCUUUGGAUAUUUCCUUUUCUUUUUCUUUACAUAGACUAGUCAAAUCAAUGAGUCAUCAGUAAUUUCACUACUUUAUAACAUUGCAAGGGGUUCUUUUUAAGGAACUGAUAUAACUGUGCAACGGAAUCAAAUAAACUAUUGCUAGAUUUACCCUCUGGUUAACAUAAAACUUUAACUGGUGCAACAAAGCAAUCACAUGUAAUAAAGUUAUGUCGGUAUGAUGACGUCUCAGUCAAGACUCAGUUUGUGUAGGUGUGGGUGUGUUUGAAGGACACGUGUGUUCAGGGCUGUUAUCUUUCCAUUCAUCAUUUCCACCCACUCUCAUUCACAAGUAUAUGGCUGGGCAAUAUAUCUCAAUAUUUUUCAGCCUUUUGACGAUAUUU